AGCGAACGUUGGCGGCGUGCUUAACACAUGCAAGUCAUACGGGUCCGGGGGCAACUCCCGGGCUAGUGGCGAACGGGUGAGUAACACGUGGGUAAUCUUCCCUCGAGUGAGGAAUAAGCUUGCGAAAGCGGGUCUAAUACCGCAUGAAGCCACGGGACAUAUGUCUUCGUGACCAAAGCCGUAAGGCGCUUGAGGAUGAGCCUGCGUCCUAUUAGCUAGUUGGUAGGGUAAUGGCCUACCAAGGCAAUGAUGGGUAGCCGGCCUGAGAGGGUGAUCGGCCACACUGGGACUGAGACACGGCCCAGACUCCUACGGGAGGCUG
rnacentral:rRNA from 1 species